rnacentral:rRNA from 1 species
GCGUGGAUUAGGCAUGCAAGUCGAACGAGAAAGUUCUCUUCGGAGAGCGAGUACAGUGGCGAACGGGUGAGUAACGGGUGGAAAACCUGCCCUUCAAUGGGGGAUAACAGUUCUAACGAGCUGCUAAUACCGCAUACGACCCUUGGUCCGCAUGGACCGGGGAUGAAAGAUGGCCUCUAUUUAUAAGCUGUCGUUGAAGGAUGGUUCCGCCUCCCAUUAGCUAGUUGGUGGGGUAAUGGCCUACCAAGGCGACGAUGGGUAGCCGGCCUGAGAGGGUGUCCGGCCACACUGGGACUGAGAUACGGCCCAGACUCCUACGGGAGGCAGCAGUCGAGAAGCUUCCGCAAUGGGGGAAACCCUGACGGAGCGACGCCGCGUGAACGAAGAAGGUCCUUUGGAUUGUAAAGUUCUGUCAGAUUGGGAAGAAACUGUGCGGUUAAUACCCGUACAGCUUGACGGUACCAUCAGAGGAAGCACCGGCUAACUCCGUGCCAGCAGCCGCGGUAAUACGGAGGGUGCAAGCGUUGUUCGGAUUCACUGGGUAUAAAGGGUGCGCAGGUGGCCUGGUUAGUGGAAUGUUAAAUGCCCUGGCUCAACCAGGGAACUGCAUUCCAUACUGCCAGUCUUGAGUAUAGGAGAGGAUGGGGGAAUUCCCGGUGUAGCGGUGGAAUGCAUUGAUAUCUGGAGGAACAUCAGUGGCGAAGGCGGCUAACUGGCCUGAUACUGACGCUCAAGCGCGAAAGCUAGGGUAGCAAACAGGAUUAGAUACCCUGGUAGUCCUAGCCGUAAACGGUGAGCACUAGGUGUAGGAGGCAUCGACCCCUCCUGUGCCGUAGCUAACGCAUUAAGUGCUCCGCCUGGGGAGUACGACCGCAAGGUUGAAACUCAAAGGAAUUGACGGGGGCCCGCACAAGCGGUGGAGCAUGUGGUUUAAUUCGAUGCAACGCGAAGAACCUUACCCAGAUUUGACAUGCACAGGACCGGUGUAGAAAUACACCUUCCCUUCGGGGCUGGUGCACAGGUGCUGCAUGGCUGUCGUCAGCUCGUGUCGUGAGAUGUUGGGUUAAGUCCCGCAACGAGCGCAACCCUUGUCCUUAGUUGCCAUCAGGUAAAGCUGGGCACUCUACGGAGACUGCCGCCGAUGAGGCGGAGGAAGGUGGGGAUGACGUCAAGUCCUCAUGGUCCUUAUGCCCCGGGCUACACACGUGCUACAAUGGCCGGUACAAAGGGUUGCAAUGCCGCGAGGUGGAGCCAAUCCCAAAAAGCCGGCCUUAGUUCGGAUUGCAGUCUGCAACUCGACUGCAUGAAGCCGGAAUCGCUAGUAAUCGCUGAUCAGCAUGCCACGGUGAAUCCGUUCCCG